rnacentral:rRNA from 1 species
GAUGAACGCUGGCGGCGUGCCUAAUACAUGCAAGUCGAGCGAACGGACGAGAAGCUUGCUUCUCUGAUGUUAGCGGCGGACGGGUGAGUAACACGUGGAUAACCUACCUAUAAGACUGGGAUAACUUCGGGAAACCGGAGCUAAUACCGGAUAAUAUUUUGAACCGCAUGGUUCAAAAGUGAAAGACGGUCUUGCUGUCACUUAUAGAUGGAUCCGCGCUGCAUUAGCUAGUUGGUAAGGUAACGGCUUACCAAGGCAACGAUGCAUAGCCGACCUGAGAGGGUGAUCGGCCACACUGGAACUGAGACACGGUCCAGACUCCUACGGGAGGCAGCAGUAGGGAAUCUUCCGCAAUGGGCGAAAGCCUGACGGAGCAACGCCGCGUGAGUGAUGAAGGUCUUCGGAUCGUAAAACUCUGUUAUUAGGGAAGAACAUAUGUGUAAGUAACUGUGCACAUCUUGACGGUACCUAAUCAGAAAGCCACGGCUAACUACGUGCCAGCAGCCGCGGUAAUACGUAGGUGGCAAGCGUUAUCCGGAAUUAUUGGGCGUAAAGCGCGCGUAGGCGGUUUUUUAAGUCUGAUGUGAAAGCCCACGGCUCAACCGUGGAGGGUCAUUGGAAACUGGAAAACUUGAGUGCAGAAGAGGAAAGUGGAAUUCCAUGUGUAGCGGUGAAAUGCGCAGAGAUAUGGAGGAACACCAGUGGCGAAGGCGACUUUCUGGUCUGUAACUGACGCUGAUGUGCGAAAGCGUGGGGAUCAAACAGGAUUAGAUACCCUGGUAGUCCACGCCGUAAACGAUGAGUGCUAAGUGUUAGGGGGUUUCCGCCCCUUAGUGCUGCAGCUAACGCAUUAAGCACUCCGCCUGGGGAGUACGACCGCAAGGUUGAAACUCAAAGGAAUUGACGGGGACCCGCACAAGCGGUGGAGCAUGUGGUUUAAUUCGAAGCAACGCGAAGAACCUUACCAAAUCUUGACAUCCUUUGACAACUCUAGAGAUAGAGCCUUCCCCUUCGGGGGGGCAAAGUGACAGGUGGUGCAUGGUUGUCGUCAGCUCGUGUCGUGAGAUGUUGGGUUAAGUCCCGCAACGAGCGCAACCCUUAAGCUUAGUUGCCAUCAUUAAGUUGGGCACUCUAAGUUGACUGCCAGUGACAAACCGGGGGAAGGUGGGGAUGACGUCAAAUCAUCAUGCCCCUUAUGAUUUGGGCUACACACGUGCUACAAUGGACAAUACAAAGGGCAGCGAAACCGCGAGGUCAAGCAAAUCCCAUAAAGUUGUUCUCAGUUCGGAUUGUAGUCUGCAACUCGACUACAUGAAGCUGGAAUCGCUAGUAGUCGUAGAUCAGCAUGCUACGGAGAAUACGUUCCCGGGUCU